rnacentral:tRNA from 1 species
GUUUGUUUUGGUGUAAUGAGCACGUAAAUUUUUGGUGUUUAAGGUGGUAUAAACAGUCA